AUGAACAGAAACUCCGGCAAAGACAUGAUUCCAGUUGGAGUCCUGUUGCUGUUGAUAUUGUCCGUUCAGUGUGAGGAUCAAAACUCCUACCCUGAGCAGGUGGUGUCUCGGGAAGUGGAACGCUUUGAACUGGACUGUCGGCUCUCCGUUGGCUCUGGUUAUACCGUAACCUGGCACAGACAAACACUGACAGGGGCUCCAACAUUUAUCGCCUCCAUUUUCCAGGGGCAUGUGACCAAAGGACGCUACACACUGUCCUUUGACCAAGCAAAGAAGGCCAAUACCAUCUCUGUAGAUGACACCGCGGCCCAGGACGCCGGAAUGUAUCACUGCCGGAAGCAGACACAUUGA